GAUGAAGAACGUAGCGAAAUGCGAUAAGUAAUGUGAAUUGCAGAAUUCAGUGAAUCAUCGAAUCUUUGAACGCACAUUGCGCCCGCCAGUAUUCUGGCGGGCAUGACUGUUCGAGCGUCAUUUCAACCAUCAAGCCCCAGGCUUGUGUUGGGGACCUGCGGCUGCCGCAGGCCCUGAAAACCAGUGGCGGGCUCGCUGUCACACCGGGCGUAGUAGAUUUUAUCUCGCUCAGGGCGUGCUGCGGGUUCCGGCCGUUAAAAAGCCUUUUUUACCCAAGGUUGACCUCGGAUCAGGUAGGAAGACCCGCUGAACUUAAGCAUAUCAAUAAGCGGAGGA
rnacentral:misc_RNA from 1 species